CUUCAAGCCCCAGGAAGAGCCUCUGUUCCAUAAUUGGGAGCUGGGCAGAAGAAGGGAGCCCCAGUCUCCCACUUGACCCAACUGGGGCUCCGCCUCAGGCAGCUGGGCCGGAUAAGAGGCCAUGAAGUCCUCCUCCUCCUCCUCCCUCCGGCUGAGUGCCAGGUAAAGAACCCUGUGCCUGGCUGCUCCAGAAAAGUCUGCUCCUUAGGACCUGGUGGGGAGAGGGAAGGAGAGGGAGGGUCUAUUCUUGGUUGCUAUGGCACAGGUUUACCUUUCUGUCUACAUUUUCAUAGAUGUUCUCGAAUAGAUCUUUGUUCACUUGCUGCCUAUCUUUAGGGCCGUUGCCAGAGGUUUUACGUGGUUAUUUUGAACAAUUACCAGCAGUUUCCCUGGCGAGUAUGCCAGCUCCUGCUGCCAUGCUGGAAGCCUUUCCCCCGGGAGUUUAUCAGAGGCAUUUCUCUGUGGUCUGGUGGCCGCCCUGAGCUGCGGCUGCAGACUCCUGGGCCCAGUGAAGGGAGGGCCGCCCUGUGGGGGUGGGGGGGGCAUGCUUCCUCUCCCCAGAUUCUGAGACAGAGGCUGAGGCCGCCCUGACCCUUCCCUGCGGUGUACCUGGGGAUCUUCGUCCUCAGGUUAGAUUUCAGAAUCUGGUGAGAAUUUCCAUCCUGUAGGUGGGGCUCUCUAGGAAUCACGGACCUUGUUCUGGAAAUCAUCAGCUUUUUCUGUCCAGUGGUUACAGCUGCCUGUGAACAUCUCAGAGAUUUCCAAAAUGGUUGAUUUGCAUGAAACUGGUGGAAACUGGCCCAGGCCGAUGAAAGCCUUACAGACGCCAUCUGCCACCUUCCUGCCUCCGGACUCUCCAUCACAGCCAGUGGCUUCUACCGGGUCUGCUAACAAAUUCCUUGUUUUUGUUUGAGAAAAUACAUUUCACCUUCACUUUCGAGGAAUAAUUUCACUAUAUGUGGAAUACUCCAGCCCUGACUAGUGCAUAGAUCGACUAAUCCUACACCAACGGAAAAGCCACAUGGUGAGAAGAGUUUCUGAGGUGUUUCCAGGUAGGAAGGCUGCUGUGGCCCACAGGACAACGUCUGAGGAGUGGCCAUGUUAAGGGAGCAGUUUACUACACAGCACAGCGUGGGGCCACACUUAAGCCCCACACUGGGGCUGGGGCAGGAGAGGCUGGGAGACCCUUCAAGCCUCAGACGGGACCGACAUGGGCCUGAGAAAGGCCCCGGGGACAAGCAUGGGAACAAUCUGGGCACCAGAGCAACUCCCAGGCCCCGCUCUCAUCCCUGCCCUCACACCUGCAGUGCUCAGCCCUGUGUGCCCAGACCGCGGGCCAGGGGACGGCACUUGUGGGCGUGGGGAGUCUGUGUCAGCAGCAGCGAGCAGGCUGCACGUAGCGCGGAAAGGGCUCAGGUGGUGUUUGUGGACACAGUGGCUCCGGCCGGAGCUGAGAGAAACGAGGGUCCACACGGGAACUGAUCCAACUGUGAAGGGCUGAAGGAGCUUCAGCCUCCCUCCUGACGGGAUCUGGACCCAAUGUGAAGAAGGACCCACAGGAGCCAUGACCCACGGGCGUCGAGCAGUCACUUGGAGAGGGAAUAGCUGGGCUUCCUCACAUUUCCAUCCACAAGGAGAGCACAGGCGUGUUUCACCUACAUUUUCUCAGCGUGCGGAAGAGGCCUUGGACUGCUAAGAUCUGAGGUGUUUCCCGUUUUGUUUGGGCCUUGACAUGAAGCUGGCUCCUACAUUCUCUCCUCUGUGCUCCAGAUGAGCUGAUGUAAUUGAACCCGUGGAAGCAUUUUAAUCCUGAGUACCGUGUGGCCUUAGCAUGAGGCGGCUCUACCCCCCGAGUUCCCAGAGCCGCCAGCUGGAAGCUCCUCUGGUUCCUGGGUGGAGGUGAAGAUCUCAGACUGCCACUGGGCACAGGGCGGGCUCCCGGAGCCCCAGCUUCCCCAAGCACCAAUGAGUGGGAAGGAGAAAAAUAGCGAAAUCUCACAGAGAGUCUGUUUUUGCCGAUUCUGCUGGUACGCCUCCUCCCGUGUUCACCUGCAUUUUGGAUAAUUAGCCUGUAGGUAGAGACACUUAGCUGUAUGCUUAACCAAAGUUAAAAUUUUAAACGUAAAUACGGUACAUUUUAUGUUAUAUACACUUUACCACAAUAAAAAAAUUCAGUUGACCUUGGCAGUUUAUUCAUUGAUUCAGUGGGGCGAUAGAUUUUGGAGUUCCUAAC